AGAAUUUUCUUCUGGUUUUCCAAGCAAUAUGAGCUUCCGCUUCUUGUUCAAAGCGUUGUGAUGAACAUUACCAUGUUUCUUAUGAUACAUUUAUGCAUUAAAGUGAAACGUAUGAAUGCGUCAAAUAGAGAGCACACAUUUUCGGCUGAUGAUCUACGUCUACCAAAAGUAACGAUCGACACGGAUACUGCUGGUUCAGUGUCCACAGAUGUUGGCGCUUUGAAACGUGCACGCUCCAGGCACUAUUUAAACGGUAAGGGCAAGACCUCAAAGCUGUUAAAGCUGUGCUACAAAAAAGAAUGAAAUAGGAAUACCUGGGAAGUAGGUCUAGCAAGAAUCGAAGUAUGAAAUUUGCCAAGCAACCACAAAAUCUUGGCUUAUCGUUAAAAGCCGGUUUUCAGUACUUUUGCGCACUUACAUAUAAGCCUAUAACUUAGUUGAUUAUCCACCAGUUUCUUACCAGUUAUGGAAAGUAGAAACUUAGACCUUUUCAGUGCUGUAUAUAACAAUUUAGAAAACUUAAGAAAUCUUGUUACACUUUGUUAUUUUAUUUUUUUCAAAACUGUUUGCUGUAUAUACUUCUUCAUAUAUUUAAGAACUACUAGUAUGGCCCUUUAUAAAGUAGUUGA